rnacentral:rRNA from 1 species
AGAAUUGACGGGGCCCGCACAAGCGGUGGAGCAUGUGGUUAAUUCGAAGCAACGCGAAGAACCUUACCAGGUCUUGACAUCCCGAUGCUAUUUCUAGAGAUAGAAAGUUACUUCGGUACAUCGGUGACAGGUGGUGCAUGGUUGUCGUCAGCUCGUGUCGUGAGAUGUUGGGUUAAGUCCCGCAACGAGCGCAACCCCUAUUGUUAGUUGCCAUCAUUCAGUUGGGCACUCUAGCGAGACUGCCGGUAAUAAACCGGAGGAAGUGGGGAUGACGUCAAAUCAUCAUGCCCCUUAUGACCUGGGCUACACACGUGCUACAAUGGUUGGUACAACGAGUUGCGAGUCGGUGACGGCGAGCUAAUCUCUUAAAGCCAAUCUCAGUUCGGAUUGUAGGCUGCAACUCGCCUACAUGAAGUCGGAAUCGCUAGUAAUCGCGGAUCAGCACGCCGCGGUGAAUACGUUCCCGGGCCUU